GAUGAACGCUGGCGGCGUGCUUAACACAUGCAAGUCGAACGGGAAUUACUUUAUUGAAACUUCGGUGGAUUUAAUUUAAUUCUAGUGGCGGACGGGUGAGUAACGCGUGGGUAACCUGCCUUAUACAGGGGGAUAACAGUCAGAAAUGGCUGCUAAUACCGCAUAAGCGCACAGAGCUGCAUGGCUCAGUGUGAAAAACUCCGGUGGUAUAAGAUGGACCCGCGUUGGAUUAGCUAGUUGGUGGGGUAACGGCCCACCAAGGCGACGAUCCAUAGCCGGCCUGAGAGGGUGAACGGCCACAUUGGGACUGAGACACGGCCCAGACUCCUACGGGAGGCAGCAGUGGGGAAUAUUGCACAAUGGGGGAAACCCUGAUGCAGCGACGCCGCGUGAAGGAAGAAGUAUCUCGGUAUGUAAACUUCUAUCAGCAGGGAAGAUAGUGACG
rnacentral:rRNA from 1 species